rnacentral:rRNA from 1 species
UACGUAGGGGGCAAGCGUUGUCCGGAAUUAUUGGGCGUAAAGAGCUCGUAGGCGGUCUGUUGCGUCCGCUGUGAAAACUCGGGGCUUAACCCCGAGCCUGCAGUGGAUACGGGCAGACUAGAGGUAGGUAGGGGAGAAUGGAAUUCCCGGUGUAGCGGUGAAAUGCGCAGAUAUCGGGAGGAAUACCGGUGGCGAAGGCGGCAUCCUGGACCGGCAUUGACGCUGAGUGAGCGAAAGCCAGGGGAGCAAACGGG